GGGGAAUUAGCUCAGCUGGGAGAGCACCUGCUUUGCAAGCAGGGGGUCAUCGGUUCGGACCCGAUAUUCUCC
rnacentral:tRNA from 1 species